CUUUAUCCAAACAGUUAGGAAGUCUGCUUUUUCCUCCUAACCUGCUUUUUCCCUUCUUACCGCAACCCCCAAACGGGGCCUAAAACUGUUGGUACAGCAACUGCUAAUUCCUCUCUCUCUCGGAGUCUGUGAUUACCGCAGCGAUUAAUCGCCCUUUUGAUGAGACAACUCAUCAGAGGAGAAAAGUUUAUGUUUUUAGAAACAGUCUGAAUCUAGAUUUAAUGGGUGAACCUUCUAGCUCAGAUUCAAGCCUGGCGUGGCUUUGGGUCAUUGAGUACCUUGCAAGCUUCCAGCAACUAGACCCAUCAAUUUUACAUGAUUUGAUUGAUGCAGCUCCAAUAUUACCUGAGGAUUUGGGAAAGAGCAUGAGGGAAAUGGUUGCUUUGAGAUGCUUGGAGCAAUUGUUUGGUACUAGUAAUGAAGUUGUGAAUGAUGUUCCUUCUGUGAGAGAGCCCAAACAUACAUUCGACUUCUCACAGACUUGUGAAGAUGUGCUCGAAUCCAUACUGAAAGAAGUAAUCUUGUUUUACGUGGGCUUUGAUUUAUAAUUAAUUUGGUCAUGUGAAAGAAUGAGAUUUGAAGAAUAAUACCCGUGUUAUAAAAUCCUGUUUUUAAAUUAUGUUGCUUUUGUAAUGUGAAGUCCUGGAUUUCUCUGUGAACAGACUUCAGUAUCAGAUUUGAGAACGUCUGGACCAGAUCUGUUGAAAUGGGAUAUUCAUCCUUUCAUCACACACAAAAGAGCUUCCAUGCCAAAAUGUGCUUUGGAACAGCUGAAAGAUGCGAUCCUUGAAGGAACCCGUCCAUAUGCUGCUUACCUGACAGAACUUAGUGGACUGGUGCAUAAAAAUGAUGAGAAUGAUAGUAUCACUGUGGAUUCUUGUCAUCAUAAUGCAGUUACCGGGAGGGUUGACAGUGAUGACGCUAAUGCCCAAAUUAUGGCACCAGAGGGGAGCGCCAUUUCUUUACCGCUUGAAAAUAGGAAUGAAAUGGUAGGAUGUGAUUCACAUCAUAGAAAAUUAUUACCCUUGAAGAGGAACAAAAGUGAUUUGGAUAAUGAAAAUCCUGCGGGAGAGUAUCAGGAAGACCAAGGUGAUGUGGGUAAUGAUGAUCUCCAUUUAAAUGUCAAAAGGUUUAAGAGUGAUGCCUUGUGUAUUGAUAUCUCUACAGAACAGAUUUUUAUUCCACUAAAUGGUAAGGAGUUGGUAGAGGAUUCCUCUGAAAGGAUGGUUGGAGUUACAGAGAAAGAAAGUUGCCAUAUGGAAAGAGAAUCUCUUGGUGUGCUGGGUGAAUGCAGGUCUUUAGAGAAUGGUCAUGACAAGUUUGUCGCUACAGAGGAGCUUGGGAGGAGUCUUAAUGCUGAUGUUAGUGCUGAAUUCCAGCAUAAUCAAUGUGAGAAUGUCGACAAUGCCAACCAAAUGCCAUCAGAUACAUCUGGAGAUGGACCCUGCCAGUAUAUUUUGGUGGAUGAAGUCAAUGAGGCUGAACCUAGAGCAUUAAAUGACAUGUCUGUGAGAACCCGGCACAAGGUCUCCAUUGAUGACACCAAAGCUAACAGUUACUGUGGAAAUCAGCUAAAAUCACCUAGUGUCAUUUCCUUGACUGGAUUGCGCAGAGAUACUACUGUUGAAAAAGUUGGCAUGGAGCAUUUUUAUGAAGAAGACCCAUCAUGUGAUGGUGAUGAGUACGAUCAAGAGAAGUUUGAUGUUGCUAUGGAGAAGAGUCAUUUCCUAAGCUCUUUAUGCACAUUAAUUCAUGUUUCCCCAACUGACUGGACAGAGCGAAAUCUUUGCAUAAAGUGUAGCAAAGAUGGUCAGUUGUUGGUUUGCAAUGCUGUUGGUUGUCCAUUGGUGGUUCACAGUGGGUGCUUGGGUUCUUUACCAAGUUUUGAUGUGGAGGGAAAAUUUUACUGCCCAUUUUGUGCAUAUUCUCAUGCUAUCUCAGAGUACAUGGAAGUUAAGAAAAAGGCCUCUUUGGCAAGGAAGGAACUGUCUGCAUUUAUUCAUAAACAAACUGAGAGCUCACAUAGCAAAGAACAUAGUAAGUCAAAUCAAUAUGGAGAUGAGGAUGAUAUGAGUGGGAAUUUGGGACGGAGAGAGCCUUAUCAAACAAAUAAUGAUGGGUAUCCAUUAAAAGUUAAUGGCCAACUUAAGAAAGGAAGUGUUGAUGAGCAACAAGUGGAGCCUAUUGUAUCAUGUCUUCAUGUAAAUUUAAUGGGCCGAGAAGAAGAGCCAGAUGCAACUCACGGGACAAUUAAUAUUUCUCCUGGUGAAAAAAAAAGGGAAGAGAUGGCUCCAGAGUGCCUGUCCGUAAAGGCGCUUGAUAGACAAGACCAAAUUUGUGCUGACCCCAAAUGCAAUGGUGAUAAUCCCAUGUCUGAAAACAAUGAGUUUUUCUCUUCAAAUGAAAAACAAGCUGAGGGAGGAAUUGAGAAGGAAGUUCUAGAGCAACAAAGUAGUGAUUCAUUGGAGAAACCUGUUUGUGCCAUUAAGAUUGAUGAAGGAGACAUCUUUGAUGAGGGAAAUAAAGAAAAUAUGAUCUCUAAUUACUCCAUAAGAUCUCGAAGGAGAGAGAGACAAUAUGUAUACCCAGCAAUACCUCAGUUGAGAAGAAAGAAAGUUCCUUGGACAGUUAAGGAAGAGGAGAUGCUUAAGGAGGGAGUGCAGAAAUUUUCAAAUAUUGGUGAAAGAGCUAUAUGGAAAAAAAUUUUGGAGUAUGGUGGUUCUGUAUUUCUGAGUGGCCGUACUACAGUAGACCUAAAGGAUAAAUGGAGGAACAUAUGUAAAUGAAGUCCUAAAUGCAAAUCGUUUUGUCUGCCUGGUCAGUUAGCUUGCAAAGUUGCUUUUAUUAUUUCGGUCUGCCUCUUACUGAUUUUAUCAGGAAUUAAUUUUCCUUUAAUUAUUCGUUUUUGGUAACUGAAGAUUACAUGAGAGAAAACUAAUCUAAAUUGUUCUUGUUAAUGAUGAGUCUGAUAGAUUCUUUUGUAUAUAUCUUGUUGUAGCUACACUAUAAUCCAGUCAGAAAUUGAGGAAAUAGCUGUGCUCGACUGAUAAUAUGGUAGACGCCAAGUCUUAUGGUUUCACUGUCUUCAUACUGUUAUGGGACAUCUCCCAAGUGCAUUGAAGAGUGAGGACAGUCUUUCUCAUGAUCAUCAAUCUCAAAUUUAAGCAUUCUCAUAAGUUCUGGAAGCAUCCGUUUAUUUCAGAUCAUGACAAAUAUGAUAGAUGCGACAAGAGCUGGAUUUGUAUGGGAUGGACUCUUCUCCACUUUUGCUUUUGCAACACUGUAAAGUAGAGGUGUAGAUAUCUAGAAUUUGAGUAUUUAUUUUGGCUGUUAUUUUGUUGUCAUGUGUACAGACACUUCUGCUGUUUAUUGAAAGAAGGCAUAUAGUUGUGAGAAUCUUUUAUCUGUGAUUUUAUAAAAGAAAUCUAGUUCUGAACUAUGAAAGGAUUCAUGUUUGCAAAGUGCCAUGAUCUGCUGAAAGGUUAUAAAGCAUAUGUUUACGUGUCCAUAUUAGUUUGUCAAUCAUUCAGCAUGCUGGCCAUAAGCUCUGCAUUAUAGAUCGAGAUUUUGCAGCAACAUCGGUGACUGUGUUUUCUUUGUUCUUGUUGUCCUUUCCACAGAACUCUACUUCUGCUGCUGAUGUUUUUUUUUUUUUUCUUCUUUCAAAAGCAGGGUAAUAUGCAGAAGAUUGUGCUGUACAAAUUUAAUGGAGCUGAGAAAGAAAUUCUAUACUUUUGCUACAUCAUGUACAUUUCACUGUUUUGUUUGUAAUUGCCAACUUGAAAUUGUCACCAUCAUUGUAAUCCUAAUUGUUUAUUUCCUGUUUUUGGAUUUCUGAUCCAAUUUGCAUUAUGAGAUAGUUGUCUCCAUGAUCAUCAAAUCAUGGCCAUCAAUUCAAUACAUGCAUUGGUGUUUAUUCUUUCUUUU
rnacentral:misc_RNA from 1 species